rnacentral:lncRNA from 1 species
CAAUCAACUAGAGCAUCGACCACACGUUGUAACGACAGAACACCAGUCGACAGCCUAGCGGAGGAGAUAACCGCCUCAAACUCUGACGGUAAUCCCGCGAGCAUCACCUCAAUCUUCUCUUCAUCAGAGAGACGAGAACCAGAGGCAUCUAACAUAGCACACAGAUCUUUAAUUUUAGCAACAUAAGCUUUAAUAGAAAGGUUACCUUUCUUCAAAGAAUGAAGCUCAUGCCGAAUUCGUGACUGCUUAGCACCAGUGUCAGCC